GACGAACGCUGGCGGCGUGCUUAACACAUGCAAGUCGAACGGAAAGGCCCUGCUUUUGUGGGGUGCUCGAGUGGCGAACGGGUGAGUAACACGUGAGUAACCUGCCCUUGACUUUGGGAUAACUUCAGGAAACUGGGGCUAAUACCGGAUAGGAGCUCCUGCUGCAUGGUGGGGGUUGGAAAGUUUCGGCGGUUGGGGAUGGACUCGCGGCUUAUCAGCUUGUUGGUGGGGUAGUGGCUUACCAAGGCUUUGACGGGUAGCCGGCCUGAGAGGGUGACCGGCCACAUUGGGACUGAGAUACGGCCCAGACUCCUACGGGAGGCAGCAGUGGGGAAUAUUGCACAAUGGGCGGAGGCCUGAUGCAGCAACGCCGCGUGCGGGAUGACGGCCUUCGGGUGGUAAACCGCUUUCGCCUGUGACGAAGCGUGAGUGACGGUAAUGGGUAAAGAAGCACCGGCUAACUACGUG
rnacentral:rRNA from 1 species